rnacentral:misc_RNA from 1 species
GAAAUUGAUAAGUUAAAAAGUAUUCAGAUAUCCCAGGGGAUGGAGUGGGUUGAAGCUAAGGGAUUGGAAAGAGUAGCAGAUGCGGAAGCCAUGGGAGCAAAAGAUUAUAUAAAAAUGAGAAGCCAAUUAAAUAGAGAAUGAAAACCAGAAAUCGUUGGGUGAAGAAGAUGAGAUGAUCCGAUGAGUCCAAGGAGCGUCGGUGCCGUCG